GAUGAACGCUGGCGGCGUGCCUAAUACAUGCAAGUCGAGCGAACAGAUGAGGAGCUUGCUCCUCUGACGUUAGCGGCGGACGGGUGAGUAACACGUGGAUAACCUACCUAUAAGACUGGGAUAACUUCGGGAAACCGGAGCUAAUACCGGAUAAUAUAUUGAACCGCAUGGUUCAAUAGUGAAAGACGGUUUUGCUGUCACUUAUAGAUGGAUCCGCGCCGCAUUAGCUAGUUGGUAAGGUAACGGCUUACCAAGGCAACGAUGCGUAGCCGACCUGAGAGGGGGAUCGGCCACACUGGAACUGAGACACGGUCCAGACUCCUACGGGAGGCAGCAGUAGGGAAUCUUCCGCAAUGGGCAAAAGCCUGACGGAGCAACGCCGCGUGAGUGAUGAAGGUCUUCGGAUCGUAAAACUCUGUUAUUAGGGAAGAACAAAUGUGUAAGUAACUAUGCACGUCUUGACGGUACCUAAUCAGAAAGCCACGGCUAACUACGUG
rnacentral:rRNA from 1 species